GGGAGAGAGGAGGGAGCGUUGGAGGAACCGGAUGAAGACCAGUUUCAUUGCGAUUAUGCUCACUGUGAUGACCCCAGCUCUCUUCUAUGUGAUGGUAGUUUAGAUGGUCGAUAUCGACUUGUGAUGUGAAGACAAACUCGCUACUCGCUGUCUCGAGACUUGUAAUGUUCUAACUUUGUUCGGUAUUUUAAAUUCGGAGACUAAUAUGAUGAAUUGUAUUCGGAGACUAAUCUUCUAUUGUAUUCGAUAAAUCUGUUGUUUAU
rnacentral:lncRNA from 1 species